AAGGAGCACCACGAAAAGCACCCCAACUGGUGGGGUGCGAGCCGUGAGGGGUUCCCGUCUGUAGUGGACGGGGGCCGGGUGCGCAACAGCAAAUGAUUGCCAGACACACUAUUGGGCCCUGAGACAACACUCGGUCCGUCCGUGUGGAGUCCCUCCAUCUUGGUGGUGGGGUGUGGUGUUUGAGUAU
rnacentral:misc_RNA from 1 species